UCAAUAAAUCACGUUGUAGCUCAUUCAAUUGUGAAUUGUUACUCGAAAUAUUAGCGCUUACAAAUUACUUGGUGGACGUAAGUACAAUGCCACACAAUGGCAUAAAGCAAAUUUAUCUUUGUACUUUACACAUUCAGCGAUUACAGCACUCAUUCGAUUUGAAUGAAUGAGCGAUCGUGUACGAUUACGUCUUGAUGCACCUUCAUAUGUCACAUCGAUAAAUAAAUGGAAAUGAUUUCGGAGACAGCAUGAAUAAAUGGUCAAUAUUGUAUUUCUACAAGUCAUCCAACCUGUCGCGUAUUUGGUCUCGUGCGUGUAAAUCAUACUUCAGUUUUGAAAAUCAAUACCAACGAAAUGGAAUGCAAACAUAGUGACAUAGCCAUGGUCCAGUACAAAAUGUAAAUUAACACCGUCAAAGUGAGAUUGUACGUGUAAGGUGUAACGUGUGUGUGUAAGCGCGAACUUAUUCAAAUGAAUGAAUGGAUGUACUCAAUGUUGGGAGGCGUAUAAAAACCAGUGGAAGCCAAUGCAUGCUACAUUGAACGUUACACAAGCAACGAAGUUGGUGAAAAAAGUGUCGAACCGAAACACAGUCUAAAAUUUCUUCGAUUCAAAUAAAAUCAACGAACAAAAAAUGUGGAGUAUCAAAAUUGUGACGAUUGCAUUGAUUGCAAUGAUUGUAUCUGCAUCAGCCGCACCUCAGCCUCAGCCCCAGCCCCAGCCCCAUAAAUUCGGUUUCGGUGUGCCAGUAGCGGUCGAACCGAUUGUUCCAGUUGCAGUGCAUAGAAUUGUACCCAUUGUUCAACCAAUUGUUCCAAUUGUUCAACCUAUCGUGCCUGUUGUUCCGGUUUAUGGACGCUUUGGUCACUUUGGAAAAUUCCGAAAAUUCCUAUAAUCAUUCCACGGGGCUCAAAUAGAGUUAUUGUGUUCUCAUAAGACGUGUUAAUUUUAGUUCAAAUUCAAGUUUUCCAAUAAGUUGUUGUUCAUUUUUUAUAUUUCUGGUAUGAAUAAAUUCAGAUGAAUCUAA